CCCCUUAGAUAUAUUCCUUUCUUUUACGAUACUAUGUUGUUUUAAAAUCAUAAAUAAUUAAAACGAUACGAACCAAAGAUCACUAUUUUUCCAGACCGAAUAUUAUGUAAAAUUGGUAGUGUUGGGCAGUGAUAGAUGCAGCUCUUAGACAAAUACAUAAAAGCUGGCCAACUCAGAUCAAAUUACAAUUGAGAGGGAUGAUGUAUAAGGAUAAAAAUAAAAGAAAUAUGAUUUAUAAAAUCAAAAAUAGAAAGGCUUUGCCCUUUGGUGUGAAAAUUGAGACUCAGAAGGUAGCUGAGCUGGUUCUCCUGAGUUGGUAUCUAGGCUCAGAAUUAGCUACAUUUGAGCACAUAAGUUUCUCCAAGUCCUGUUAACAACAAUAGAUAAUAGUCAGUCAAGGUAUUUCCUUCAGCAUAACGAAAUAGAGUUAUUGUGCAUUGACAGUAUAAAACUAUUUAAGCAAAAUUCAUUUAUAGUCACUCGGGCCAAACUUAUAAUAUUCGAUAGCCUAAAAUUACAAUAUACAUUUUAUAGUACAAAAGUAAUUUUAGUGGCUAGUCCAAAAAUCAGAUCUGCAAAGACAGAUCGCGGAAAAGAGAGGCGACAAUGCCAUGGCUGCAAAAUCACCGAUUGCAUCCAAAGUAAAAACCUUUGAAUCGCCGACCGUCUGGUGAUUUGCCAGGCCAAGAUACGGGUCAGAUAGUCUCUAUGCCCGAUCCAGUUAACCCAGAAUCCGGAUAAAAUAUCAUCACUGCCUCAAUUGUUAUGUAGCAAAAAAGAGGAACUAAAAUCACAGAAACAGAGACAGAGAAAGAGAGAUAUGGAU
rnacentral:lncRNA from 1 species